GACGAACGCUGGCGGCGUGCUUAACACAUGCAAGUCGAACGAAGUGGCGAACGGGUGAGUAAUACGUGGGUAACCUGUCCUCCUUUUUGGGAUAAGCCUUGGAAACGGGGUCUAAUACCCAAUAAAGGGGGAUGGGCUCGCGGCCUAUCAGCUUGUUGGUGGGGUGGUGUCCGACCAAGGCGGUGACGGGUAGACGGCAUGAGAGGGUGAACGGCCACAUGGGGACGGAGAAGCGGCCCAGAGUACGACGGGGGGGAGCAGUGGGGGAUAUGGGACAAUGGGCGAAAGACUGAUGCAGCGAGGACGAGUGGGGGAUGAAGGCUUUCGGGUUGUAAACCUGUGUCGCUAUGGAACGGGUAGGUGGAGAAGAAGCGCCGGCUAACUACGUGCCAGCAGCCGCGGUAAUAC
rnacentral:rRNA from 1 species